rnacentral:lncRNA from 1 species
GAUGACAUUAAUCAUCAUCAGAACUAAAGGAAUACUGUAAAGUAGAUUCAAAAACACCAAUUUAUAUGCUUAAUAAAAAUUAAUUUAUGAUGAGUAAAGCCAAAAACCCAAUUCUGAAUUUUAUUUUUGAAUGUAGUUAAGAUGCACCAAGUGAAGGUGGAGAUGUAGGUAACCUCUGGGACCAUGACAGUAGUGAUGAUGAGGAGAUAAAUAUCCACAACUCCAACCCCACACCAUGACUCUAUGAAAAGAACUUCCUAUCUUAUCCUCAUCAUUUAGGUCUUUGGAUUUUCCAGCCCCUAUUUUGUAUUGGUCCUGAAUUAAACCUGGUUACUUUCAUGGUAUCACCUUUAUUUUCUUCCUUUGCUUUAAAACAUUGGUUGUGGCUUUUUUACUUCCUCUUCAUACCUGUUGAUAUACUGGUUCUAGACACCACUCUCACCGCUAGUUGCCUGGCCCAGCUGCCAAUACUGAUGGCCAAAAUAAGCAAUUUAGUAAAAACUGGUGGUAAUGGUGGGUGUGUGUGUGUGUGUGGGGUAAUAAAAUACAAUCUUACCAUUUAUCUUUUAUGUAAUGUUUUGAGAAAACUGUAUUUUGGGUAACUUACUAAAACUUCUUUUAGUCAGUAAAACUGCAUCUCAUCCAUUGCGGAUGUUCUUGGUACAAGAUUUCUCCUAUGAGGGACUACAAAUUAUUGGGUCUCUUGAAACUGGAAACAGACUCUCACUCUUCCAGUAGUAUAUAAACACACUGGAGGGCUCCUGGUAAGGGCCCUAGGAGUGCUUCAGAAGUACGGUACAUCACCAAGUACAAUAUGGGGAAGAGCUUCAGAGCCAUAGAAUCCUUUUUCCUGCAUAUUUAAAAUUCCAAAUGCCAUAAUUACCCAUUUAUGAUGUCAUUUUGGAACAUAUAGCAAGACUACUGAAUGCUUAAAUUUACACAUUAUCUUGACUAGUUCAUUGUUUUUCUGGGUUUUAGAAACACGUGGUGAAGAUAUGGCUCAAAUUUCUUUUGAACCACUGGGUCUGCUUUGCUAAAUGUAACUUUACAACAAAAUGGAUGUUUAUACUGGUUUCCACCCAAAGGGUAGAGCGUGCAGUUCCCAUCUUGAUCUCUGGUGUAGAAGCUCUGCUGUACAGACAAUAUAGCAAAGUGAUCAACUUUUUAUGAUGAGGUGAGCCAAGCACAAAAUCUUCUUGGAUCACUCCUUAAAAAAAUAAAAUACUGUCAUUCACAACCUAAGCUAUUGUAAGUAUAUCUCACUUCUUCUGGUAUAAUAGACAGAAACAUGUUACUGUUA